AGAGUUUGAUCAUGGCUCAGAACGUACGCUGGCGGCACGCCUAACACAUGCAAGUCGAACGAAGUAGCAAUACUUAGUGGCAGACGGGUGAGUAACAUGUAGGUAUCUGCCCUUUGGCCUGGAAUAACACGAGGAAACUUGUGCUAAUACCGGAUAAGUCUUUACGGAGAAAGCUUUAUGCACCAUUGGAUGAGCCUGCACUUGAUUAGUUUGUUGGUGGGGUAAUGGCCUACCAAGACUGUGAUCAAUAGCUGAUUUGAGAGGAUGAUCAGCCACAUUGGGACUGAGACACGGCCCAAACUCCUACGGGAGGCAGCAGUGGGGAAUCUUGCACAAUGGAGGAAACUCUGAUGCAGCGAUGCCGCGUGAGUGAAGAAGGCCUUUGGGUUGUAAAGCUCUUUCGUCGGGGAAGAAAAUGACUGUACCCGAAUAAGAAGGUCCGGCUAACUUCGUGCCAGCAGCCGCGGUAAUACGAAGGGACCUAGCGUAGUUCGGAAUUACUGGGCUUAAAGAGUUCGUAGGUGGUUGAAAAAGUUAGUGGUGAAAUCCCAGAGCUUAACUCUGGAACUGCCAUUAAAACUUUUCAGCUAGAGUAUGAUAGAGGAAAGCAGAAUUUCUAGUGUAGAGGUGAAAUUCGUAGAUAUUAGAAAGAAUACCAAUUGCGAAGGCAGCUUUCUGGAUCAUUACUGACACUGAGGAACGAAAGCAUGGGUAGCGAAGAGGAUUAGAUACCCUCGUAGUCCAUGCCGUAAACGAUGUGUGUUAGACGUUGGAAAUUUAUUUUCAGUGUCGCAGCGAAAGCGAUAAACACACCGCCUGGGGAGUACGACCGCAAGGUUAAAACUCAAAUGAAUUGACGGGGACCCGCACAAGUAGUGGAGCAUGUGGUUUAAUUCGAAGAUACGCGCAGAACCUUACCAACACUUGACAUGUUCGUCGCGACUCUAAGAGAUUAGAGUUUUCGGUUCGGCCGGACGAAACACAGGUGCUGCAUGGCUGUCGUCAGCUCGUGUCGUGAGAUGUUGGGUUAAGUCCCGCAACGAGCGCAACCCUCACUUUUAGUUGCCAUCAUUAAGUUGGGCACUCUGAAAGAACUGCCAGUGAUAAGCUGGAGGAAGGUGGGGAUGACGUCAAGUCCUCAUGGCCCUUACGUGUUGGGCUACACACGUGCUACAAUGGUAUCUACAACAGGAAGCAAGACUGCGAGGUCAAGCAAAUCCCUAAAAGAUACCUCAGUUCGGAUUGCACUCUGCAACUCGAGUGCAUGAAGCUGGAAUUACUAGUAAUCGUGGAUCAGCGUGCCACGGUGAAUGCGUUCCCGGGUCUUGUACACACCGCCCGUCACACCAUGGGAGUUGGUUCUACCUUAAGGCAAGGUUUCAAACCCUUGACCACGGUAUAGUCAGCGACUGGGGUGAAGUCGUAACAAGGUAGCCGUAGGGGAACCUGCGGCUG
rnacentral:rRNA from 1 species